rnacentral:misc_RNA from 1 species
UUUCCGUAGGUGAACCUGCGGAAGGAUCAUUAUUGAAUAAACAGUGUGGGUUGUUGCUGGCCUUCUGGCAUGUGCACGCCUGCCAUAUGUUUCAUUCCCUUCUUUCCACCUGUGCACUAUGUGUAGGCUAUGUAUGCAGUAUUGUCAGGCCCUUCAUAAGGCUUGGUUUAGAGAGGAUGCUUGUCUUUAUGAGACAGGCUCAUCUUGGGCGUACAGGUCUAUGUUUUACACCAACACCAAAUGAAUGUCUUAGAAUGUAUUUUUUCAGGCUCUUGCUAGCCUUUAAACCAUAUACAACUUUCAACAACGGAUCUCUUGGCUCUC